CGCCACAGAACGCUCCCGGCCCCUUCCUCCCUCCCUCCCUCUCCCUCCCCCGCUCUCGCGUCCGCGCUCGCUCGCUCGCUCGCUAGCCGCCUCCGUCGGUCCACCGGGCCACCGCACCGCGGCGGCAUGGCGGAUCAGCUCACCGACGACCAGAUCGCCGAGUUCAAGGAGGCCUUCAGCCUCUUCGACAAGGACGGAGAUGGUUGCAUCACCACCAAGGAGCUGGGAACAGUCAUGCGCUCGCUGGGGCAGAACCCAACGGAGGCUGAGCUCCAGGACAUGAUCAAUGAAGUCGACGCUGAUGGCAACGGCACCAUUGACUUCCCAGAGUUCCUCAACCUGAUGGCCCGCAAGAUGAAGGACACUGACUCAGAGGAGGAGCUCAAGGAGGCCUUCAGGGUGUUCGACAAGGACCAAAACGGCUUCAUCUCUGCUGCUGAGCUCCGCCACGUCAUGACGAAUCUCGGCGAGAAGCUCACCGACGAGGAGGUGGACGAGAUGAUCCGUGAAGCUGACGUCGACGGUGAUGGCCAGAUCAACUACGAGGAGUUCGUCAAGAUGUUAUCCUGUGCUUCGGUAUGCGUUUUUGCGUGUGAACGGCAGAUAAAGAUACAUUUGAUGCCUGCGAUUCCCUCUGCUUGUGGAGGAGUGGAUCACACACACACACACACACACAUGGAGCAGGAGAAGAAGCUCAAGGUGCUCUGCCUCCAUGGCUUCCGGACAAGCGGGGGUUUCUUGAAGAAGCAGAUCAGCAAAUGGCACCCUUCCAUCCUCCAGCAGUUCGACACGGUCUUCCCUGACGGUCAGUUCCCAGCUGGAGGGAAAUCGGACAUCGAGGGCAUAUUCCCCCCCACCAUACUUUGAGUGGUUUCAGUUUGACAAGGAUUUCACCGAAUACACAAAUCUAGACGAGUGUAUUUCAUAUCUAUGCGAUUACAUGGUGAAAAAUGGACCUUUCGACGGCCUGCUUGGAUUCUCCCAGGGUGCAACACUUUCAGCCCUUCUGAUAGGCUACCAAGCACAGGGCAAGGUGCUGAAUGAUCACCCACCAAUUAAGUUCAUGGUGUCAGUAUCCGGGAGUAAAUUCAGGGACCCAAGCAUCUGCGAUGUGGCCUAUAAGGACCCGAUCAAGGCGAAAUCUGUCCAUUUCAUUGGAGAGAAAGACUGGCUCAAAGUACCUUCCGAGGAGCUGGCUUCUGCCUUUGCUGACCCUCUCAUCAUAAGGCACCCCCAGGGUCACACUGUCCCCAGGCUUGAUGAGGCAUCUGUGAAGCAGCUUUCUGAAUGGAGCGCAAGCAUCCUGGAAGACCUCAAGAAGAUAGACGCUCCCAAGGCCUCAAAUUCGGAGAUUUCAGCAGAUAAGGACAAUGCUGGCGUGGAGUCAGCAGAAAUCCUGAUGGAACAAGUUGCAGCCUGAGGCUAGCUGAGCUUCGCUGAUUGAGUUGCGGUGGAGUCUGAAAGCUGUUGCUCGCUUGCUUUAUCCAGAUUACUUGAUAACCUUGUUCACUGUAUUAGCCUCAUUGAGAGAGGACAAUAAAUCAGUCCCAAUUGCCUGUUUUUUUCUCCCA